AUGCUCCACUCCUGCUGCUUUUCUGACUUCAUUUUCUUGGGGAUGUACCAGCACGGCCCUACCGGCGAGUACCGGUUAUUGCUGGGACCCGAAGCUCAAGAUGGCUGCUAUGUCUACACAUUAGGCUCCGGCCUGCCCCCGAGGCACGUAGACAUAGACUGCCCUGAUGUGGAGGAAGAGGAACUGAUAUACCCCUCCGGAUCUGUCCUAUCCCAUGGUAGCCUGCAUUUGUGCAUAGGCAACAUGAUAAUUGCAUUCAACACCAUCGCUGAGUCGUUCCGUCAGAUGCGUGCUCCAGUUGAUCCUUGA
rnacentral:rRNA from 1 species